UAGGGAAUAUUGCACAAUGGGGGAAACCCUGAUGCAGCGACGCCGCGUGAGUGAUGAGGGCCUUCGGGUCGUAAAGCUCUGUUGAACGGGAAGAAACAAAUGACGGUACCGUUUAAGAAAGGAUCGGCUAACUUCGUGCCAGCAGCCGCGGUAAUACGAGGGAUCCUAGCGUUGUUCGGAAUCAUUGGGCGUAAAGAGUAUGUAGGCGGCCUAGUAAGUCAGUUGUGAAAGCCCCGGGCUCAACCCGGGAAGUGCAAUUGAUACUGCUUGGCUUGAAUGUGGAAGAGGGCAGUAGAAUUCCAGGUGUAGUGGUGAAAUGCGUAGAUAUCAGAAAGAACACCGGUGGCGAAGGCGGCUACCUGGACUUUAACUGACACUGAGGCGCGAAAGCGUGGGGAGCAAACAGGAUUAGAUACCCUGGUAGUCCCUGAGCGGGCUGGCAAGGCGCAU
rnacentral:rRNA from 1 species